rnacentral:tRNA from 1 species
GCCUGGGUGGCUCAGUCGGUUAAGUGUCUGACUUUGGCUCAGGUCAUGAUCUCAAUCUCAUGGUUCGUGGGUUCGAGCCCCAUGUCGGGUU